GUGUUCCUACGGGGCGCAGCAGUGGGGAAUAUUGCACAAUGGGGGAAACCCUGAUGCAGCGACGCCGCGUGAGUGAGGAAGUAUUUCGGUAUGUAAAGCUCUAUCAGCAGGGAAGAAAAUGACGGUACCUGACUAAGAAGCCCCGGCUAACUACGUGCCAGCAGCCGCGGUAAUACGUAGGGGGCAAGCGUUAUCCGGAUUUACUGGGUGUAAAGGGAGCGCAGGCGGUAUGGCAAGUCAGAUGUGAAAACCCAGGGCCCAACCCUGGGACUGCAUUUGAAACUGCCAUACUGGAGUGCCGGAGG
rnacentral:rRNA from 1 species